AUAUAUAUAUAUAUAUAUGAGAGAGAGAGAAAGAAUGUGUGGUUGGCGUUAGGAAAAGGCAUCCAGCUGUAGAAACCAUGCCCAGACCUACAUGGAAUCUGGCAAAAUCCUCUGGCUUGUCUGUUCUUGCCAGGCCAUCCAACCCAUGCCAGCAUGAAGAAGCGGAUGUUAAAUGAUGAUGAUGAUGAUGUGUUUUUCUGUUUAUUUGUUGAAUGUCUGGUGUCAUGUGGAUAAGUUUACUGAUUACUUUGCCAACGAUGGACAGGCAAGACUUUCUGGGAUUUUGGUGAAUCUUCUAAAGCUUACUACAUAACCAAGAUAGGCAUCUUUCUUCCUCUGUAACUCUCUCUCUCUCUGUCUGUCUCCCUCUCUUUCUCAAUAGAGAUAGUUUUUCAAACACUGCAUGUUAAAAAAUGUAUUCUAAUUGCAGAUUUGCAGCUUUCUAUGCAGCUUCUUAUAAAAUGUUACCUAUAAAGUUUUUAUUUCAG